rnacentral:sRNA from 1 species
CGACAUGAUCACCAUCUUCAUCGGCACCUGGAACAUGGGUAACGCCCCCCCUCCCAAGAAGAUCACGUCCUGGUUUCUCUCCAAGGGGCAGGGAAAGACGCGGGACGACUCUGCCGACUACAUCCCCCAUGACAUUUACGUGAUCGGCACCCAAGAGGACCCCCUGAGUGAGAAGGAGUGGCUGGAGAUCCUCAAACACUCCCUGCAAGAAAUCACCAGCGUGACUUUUAAAACAGUGAGCAGCUGGCUGCACGCUGGGUCGCCAUCCACACGCUCUGGAACAUCCGCAUCGUGGUGCUGGCCAAGCCUGAGCACGAGAACCGGAUCAGCCACAUCUGUACUGACAACGUGAAGACAGGCAUUGCAAACACACUGGGGAACAAGGGAGCCGUGGGGGUGUC